CCAUUCUUCUCAAUGUUACAAUACUGAUUAUUUUAACAUUGUGUCUGAAGUUUUUGUGAAUUAAAAGGUAUAAGAUUGUACAUCUACACAUAUGUGUUUACAAUGUGAAAAAGACGAUAACGACAUAUAUAAUUAUAUUACUUGAGUAGAGAAUUGACUGGAAGAACAUGCAGAAUUUAGCUGUCCAGGAUACCGAGAUGAAAAUAGAAUGACUGCAUCUACUUUCUGCUUUUGAAAUUUUAAAAAGGUAUUUCAAAGUAAACAUUAAAACUACAGAUGCAAUUUAAAGAGACAGUUGAUUUGGCUCUCUUCGUCCCUGCUGAUAAACAUCGCGGGAGCAUUUUGCUGCUGAAUCCAACUUUGUAUUCCAGUGGCCAUUAGGAAUGGUUUCCAAGUGCUCUCACAAAGAAUAUGUGGUUUAAACCCAGAGCAGAAGACUCUCACACGGGAAGAGUAUUUGAUUACCCUAGGCAUGGGGGAACAAGGUGGAAUUUGAGGUGGUCAUGAUGAGAGAGAGACAUGUUUGCAACUCUCCUGAGUACAGCUGAAAUCAGGAACAUCUCCCCCUCUUCACUGCAAGCCGUGUUUUGACUGAGAGGAGCAUGUACUGCUGCUUCUACCCCCAGAUUCGUAAAAACCAAAAUGCUGUCUUCAUAAGGCAUGGAGAGUCCACCUGCAUUUGUGGCAGUGUUCUUUCCUUACUGAUCAGCAAAGCUGCUAGCAAAGCAUAUAUUUGGAAAGUGAUAGCAAAAAAAUAUAAUUGAAGAAAAUUUUAACUACACACAAUUUCGUUGUUGCUGCUGCACGGAAUCUCUG